rnacentral:rRNA from 1 species
AACGAACGCUGGCGGCGUGCCUAACACAUGCAAGUCGAGCGCGAAUGGAGCAAUCCUAGUAGCGCGGCGCACGGGUGCGUAACACGUGGGUAAUCUGCCUGGGAGACCGGAAUAACCUGCCGAAAGGCUGGCUAAUACCGGAUAAGCCCACGGACUCUUCGGAGUCUGAGGGAAAAGGUGGCCUCUGUAUACAAGCUAUCACUUCCAGAUGAGCCCGCGGCCCANCAGCUCGUUGCGGGGUAAAGGCCCACCAAGGCAACGACGGGUAGCUGGUCUGAGAGGACGAUCAGCCACACUGGAACUGAGACACGGUCCAGACUCCUACGGGAGGCAGCAGUGGGAAUUUUGCACAAUGGCGAAAGCCUGAUGCAGCAACGCCGCGUGUGUGAUGAAGGUCUUCGGAUCGUAAAGCACUUUCGACCGGG